rnacentral:rRNA from 1 species
UACAGAGGUGGCAAGCGUUGUUCGGAAUUACUGGGCGUAAAGGGCGCGUAGGCGGUUCGUUAAGUCCUGUGUGAAAGCCCCCGGCUCAACUGGGGAGGGUCACGCGAUACUGAUCGACUCGAAGGCAGGAGAGGGUAGUGGAAUUCCCGGUGUAGUGGUGAAAUGCGUAGAUAUCGGGAGGAACACCAGUGGCGAAGGCGACUACCUGGCCUGUUCUUGACGCUGAGGCGCGAAAGCUAGGGAGCAACGGG